rnacentral:lncRNA from 1 species
CAAUCAAACAAAAGGGUCAUCCUGUAAUUCCGAAUUGACAUCAAUGUGGUGAAAUUUGAUUGGAUGUGCGGAUUGUGUUCAUAGGAAGCUAUUUGUGCGUUUAUAUGAACAUGCUUUGGUUGGUAUGGUGAUGCGAUGCUAAUGACACCUGGAAUCUUCCUGUUGCGUUGUGGUACAAGGUUAUAUUUGUCUUUGUGUUGGGUAAGUGGACAGAGAAUGGCAUGUGAUGUUAUUAGUCAUUUGGUCAUUCAGCAAGUGUUAAUAGUAAAUGAAGCAAAAUAUAGUGGUGUGGGGACUCAGCAUCUUUGUGUUUGCUAUAUAUAUCGUCGCAAUCAUGUACUUUUGCUUUUAGCAAUUGAUGAAGGCGAUGCUAAUUACCGGUUUUAAUUGUGUAAGCCGUUCGUCGAGUAUCAUCUUGUAAAUUUCUUACCAGCUUUUAAUUCAUACGGUGAAAUGUGUGUCGCUGGACGAUAGUCGAGGACUAAAAGGAAUUAACUUUCUUGUAAAUUACUUAUCAACUUUCAUUUCAUACACCAACAAAGUAUUGGCUCCACUUGCAAUGGAGUCCCCUUAAGUGAUUUGACUGGAUUUGCUUCUCAGUUCGAGUCGUAGGAAAGUCGUCUUUGUUGGGAGAACCUGUGCCUCUCGGUUCGAGCUGGAACUUCUAGUCUGGGUUGUGGUACGGGCUUAAAGGUGCCUCCCACAGUUGGGGCCCUUCUCAGAAUACCUCGUGGUUAAAAAAAAAAAAAAAAAACUUUCAUUUCAUACGGUGAAAUGUGUUUCAUUGGACGAUAAUCGAGGAUUAAAAGGAAUAAUUUUCUUGUAAAUUUUUUAUCAGCUUUCCCUUCAUAUGGAAAAAUGUGUUUUAUUGAAUGAUAGUCAAGGAUUAAAAGGAAUUAACUAAAGAUUGAUGAAUGACUACUCUUGGGGAAAGUCUUGGGUGGUACUCGACAUCGUUACAUUGGCAAAUCUUGCGCUAUGCCAUUAACUUACCCCAAUGAUAUCAAAAAUACCAAAAACCAAAAUUUUAAGAUUUGAUGCACUUAGUCAUAUUUUGUAUAUGUUAUAUAAAUAUUAUCUAUUUCAAAUUUUAAUAUUGAAUCUACUGUAGCACUUUGGUAAAUUCUGCAUUUGCGCCAUUAAUUUGGUGAAUCGCAUUUUGAGUUUGAAUCCCGGUAGUGUAAUUAAUUUUCAAUUUGGUAUUUUGGAAGCCCAAUGUUAUCAAAAGUACCAAAAACCAAAAAUUUUAAGAUUUAAUACACUUAUUCAAUUUCUGUCUUUGUUAUAUAAGUAAUAUAUGUUUCAGAUUUUAACAUUGAAUCCACCAUGGCAUUUUGGCAAAUUUUGCAUUUGCACCAUUAAUUUGGUGAAUUGAAUUUUAAGUUGGAAUCCCGACAGUGGAAUUAAUUUACAAUUUAGUCAGCUUCUGUAUUUGUAAUGUAAUAACACCCUGAAAGGAACAUGUCUUCUCUCUCAUCAGUUUUCUCUCCCUGAGAAAGCUUAGAGAAUAAAAGUUAUAAUUGAGCCUUUAUGGCUCGUUGAAUCGCUCUUAUUGAGUGUUCUUUUUCUUUAAAACCAUACUUAAUAAUAGUUUAGUGGUUUUCACUCUUUCUUAAUUUUUUUUCAAAGCAUCUAAGGAAUGGAAAUGUCGUCCAAAUACACAACCACAAAACGGUUGAGGAAUGGUUAUAGCACCUUGUUCAUGAGUGUGUAAAAUGUGGAGGGUGCAUUAGUGAGGCCAAAAGGCAUGACAAGGAAUUCGAAAGACCCGUACUUUGUUGUGCACGUUGUCUUUGGUUCGUCUCCCUUGGCGAUGCGCACUUGAUAAUACCCGGAGCGCAAGUCGAGUUUAGUAAAGUACCGCGCCUUGCCAAGCUGGUCGAACAAGUCUGUGAUUAAAGGAAUCAGAUACUUGUUCUUAAUGAUGAUCUUGUUGAGCGCUCUAUAGUCGAUGCACAUCCGCAACGAUCCAUCAUUUUUCUUUUGGAAGAUGACCAAUGCACCGAAUGAGGCCUUUGAGGGGCGAAUGUAGCCUGCGUUCAGCAAGUCUUUAAGUUGUCUCCGCAACUCCUCAAGUUCGGGUGGCGCCAUGCGGUAGGGCGCCAAGGCUGGUGGCUUCGCACCUUGUUCCAAUUCGAUCGCAUGGUCUACCUCUCGUCGAGGUGGGAGCUUCUUCAGAAGUUCAAGAGGCAUCACGUUCUUGUAUUCGUUGAGGACGGUUUGUAUUUGCGGAAGGACUUGGCUUGGCGAUUUUCUGCAAUCUCCUUCCUCGUUUAAUUCCCAGAUGGAGACCAAGAAGUUUGGGUCCUUCUUGAAAGCCCUUUUGAAUUGCAUGGCGGAGAGUGUCUUCUCUUCGGACUUGCCUCGUUUCGUAGGAACCAUGCAUGCUUUGCUUCUGUCGAUGAUGCUUAGGGAGUUCGUAACGGGCAGCGGGAAGGCAUGGACUUGGUCGAAGAAUUCCAUGCCGAGGACCAGCUUGAAGUCAUCUAUGGGAACAAUAGAGAAGUCAAGCUUUUCGCUCCAUGUUCCAAGCGUCGUGUGCACGCCUUGUGCGAUACCCACAAUGGGCUUGGCGGGCCAGUUUACUGCCUUCAUCGUGCCUUCUUCCUAAGCACUUGGCCUGACCUACGGACACAAAGUUUUGUGUUGCUCCCGUGUCUACUAGCGCGCGAACAGACUGACCGUUUAUCUUCGCGCUCACUUACAUGAGCCAUUUUUUAGUGAAUGUGGGCUGUUGGCGAUGGAGUGCGCCGAGACGUUGGAGAGAACCCAUGCUAAGUUGUGGUUCUUCUGUGAACAUUGUGGGGUUGCUCUUGAGUUGAGUAGCAAGAGCGUUGAGCGACUUCUUCUCCGGACAGUUGCGUACCUAAUGAGAACCGUUGCAUAUAAAGCAUGGGCUUCGUGGCUUUGGCGCCUCCUUUUUGUUGUCCUACAAUUUUCCUUGCCCGCUCUUGUUGCUAAGAGACUUUUUCUGCCCCUAGUCUUUGCAGUUGUUGCCCUUGUCCUUGUAACUCUCUCCCCCACCUUUGCCUUGGUUGACCUUUUUGUCUUUAGAUUGGGUAGAGUACUCGGUGAGCAAUUCUGUAACGACGAUGGCGUCAUCAAGUGUUUGAACACCCCGCUUAUCAAGCUCGGUCUUGGCUCAAUCCUUGAAGCCAUCUUGGAAGUAGAAGAGUGAGUUCUUGUCAGACAUGUCGCUUAUCUCCAACAUGAGGGUAGUGAACUCGUUGUUCUAGUCACGAAUACUACCCAAUUGUUUAAGGCGACGUAGGUGCGCUGGCGCUUCUUUCUCCACAUUGCUUGGGGCGAACUGUUUUCGGAUUUCUUGCUUGAAGUCAGCCCAAGUAUCAAUGGUGCAAAUGCUUUUGCCCAUAUAUAUAAUCACGCAGGAUCAGAUGUUUUGCUUAAACAAGUUCCUUUAAUUUAAUAGGGUUGGAUAUCGUUAAGUAAUCAAUUACCUUUUUCGACUUUAUCAUAGUGAUCACUCGUACGUAUUCUAUCAAAGCUGUCAUGCAAAACAGAUCAAGCUGAUAGAAGCCCAUCUUUAAAACAGUAAUGAACUAUAAUUAGAAGAUUUUGGAUUUUCGCCUUACUUUGCUUUGUGACCAAGCUUCUUCGCCUAAUUUUAGUUUGCUUCAUGAUCACGUUUUUGCGUUUAAUUUUAUUCACUAUCCAUAUAUAAAAUUAUGACCUAAGACGGAUAUGUCAAGUUUAAGGUUUUUGUAUGUGCAUGGUUUUUUUUUUUUUGGCCCAAAAAAAAAAAUGAUACAAUCGAAAGCGUAAUCUAAUGAGACUGUAGACUUCUACGCGCCUACUAAUAUUUGGGGAGCAUAUCCACUUUACUCAAAACAUGUAAGAGAAGUCAUACAGAUUUCUAGUCCUUAAGAGGGAUUUCAAUCUUUUUGUUGAUAGAGCGGCUUACCAGUCUUGCUAUAUAUGCCCUUGAAGUGACUGUGCAUGGACACUGCCGCAGAUUUUUCUAAUCAUAAACUUUAAUCUGUUGUAAUUUAAACGACUAAUUAAUACUUAUAAUUUUCAUGCAGUUUGGAAUGAAUCAGAGAAAGAAAACAAAGAGUUCUUCGAGGCAUACGCUCAAUCUCAAAGCAAAGAAGAUCGAAUGUCCGAGGAAGAGACGAGUCAAAUGAUCCAGAAGAUGAUCUCCAUUAAUUCCUCCAAUUCUCAAAACGACGACGACCAAGAUUAAACUUAAUUCCCCUAGCGAAGAACUCUUUGAAAACAAUAUAUAGGUAUAGAUAUAUAUAUGUAUAUAUCCUCUCUCGCUCUCAAAUAAUUAAUUUAGCCAAAAUAGUAACAACUCUCGCCAAUGUUGGUCCCUUUAGCUCAAGCUUAGUGUUAUACUUAUAUUGAACCAAUCAAACAAAAGGGUCAUCCUAUAAUUCCGAAUUGACAUCAAUGUGGUGAAAUUUGAUUGGAUGUGCGGAUUGUGUUCAUAGGAAGCUAUUUGUGCGUUUAUAUGAACAUGCUUUGGUUGGUAUGGUGAUGCGAUGCUAAUGACAC